UACGUAGGGCGCAAGCGUUAUCCGGAAUUAUUGGGCGUAAAGAGCUCGUAGGCGGUUUGUCGCGUCUGCCGUGAAAGUCCGGGGCUCAACUCCGGAUCUGCGGUGGGUACGGGCAGACUAGAGUGAUGUAGGGGGAGACUGGAAUUCCUGGUGUAGCGGUGAAAAUGCGCAGAUAUCAGGAGGAACACCGAUGGCGAAGGCAGGGUCUCUGGGCAUUAACUGACGCUGAGGAGCGAAAAGCAUGGGGGAGCGAACAGGG
rnacentral:rRNA from 1 species